CUCCACUGGCUUCUUCUCCUCCCCCAGCCCCGCCUACCCCAAGGCGCGAUACUAGCUCAAGUCGCCCUCCUCUUGGGGACAAAGGGUCAGGGUCCCAAAGCCUAUCUUGUCAUCGCCCCAUACACAAGCCCCACUUGGCGCAAGAAACUCAACCCGGCCUACCUCAUGACCAGGUGAAGGAAUUCCUCUGCACUACGCUGUGCGCAUGACCGGAAGCCUUAAAAUAGCCUCCGACACGGACUAUUUAAAGGGCCAGGCUCCCACCACUUAAAGAAGAGCUUUAAAAGAGACCUGGAAUUUCUCACGCUGUGGAGCCGCCUGGAGGCACAAAGAGGAAGAGGGCGGGACGGGGGUGGGGACGGGGUGGGCCUGGUCGGGGCCUGACGGGUUGGGCCUGCCCCAGCCGUUCCUAGGGCCCGGGUUCCUUGACCGCUGGCUCAGCCCCGCGGCGCCCCGCCCGCCCCCCGCUCCCCGCGCCUGGGCAGAUGAAGAAACCAAAGUCCAGAGAAACUGAGUUAUUGACCCUGGUCACAGUUGGCUUGUGGAAGAGCUACAUUAGAACCCAGGCCCAGGCAACCUCAAAGUGCAUCUUCCAUCCACCCCUCUACACUCUCUUCUUCUGACCAGACUGAAUAAAAGAUGAACAAACCCAUAACAGCAUCAACAUAUGUGCGCUGCCUCAAUCUUGGACUAAUUAGAAAGCUUUCAGAUUUUAUUGAUCCUCAAGAAGGAUGGAAGAAGUUAGCAGUUGCUAUUAAAAAACCAUCUGGUGAUGAUAGAUACAAUCAGUUUCACAUAAGGAGAUUUGAAGCAUUACUUCAAACUGGAAAAAGUCCCACUUGUGAAUUACUGUUUGACUGGGGCACCACAAAUUGCACAGUUGGUGAUCUCGUGGAUCUUUUGGUCCAAAAUGAGUUUUUUGCCCCUGCAAGUCUUUUGCUACCAGAUGCUGUUCCCAAAACUGUUAAUACACUGCCUUCUAAAGUCCCUGUAACAGUUCAGCAGAAACAUAUGCCCCUCUAUGGCAAAGACAGGACGUCUGUGAUAUCUGAUGAGAAUACUGAACAAAACUAUAUGCCACCUGACUCCUCAUGUCCAGAAAAUAGAAGUUUAGAAGUUAGUGAUACACGUUUUCACAGUUUUUCAUUUUAUGAGUUGAAGGAUGUCACAAAUAACUUUGAUGAACGACCCAUUUCUGUUGGUGGUAACAAGAUGGGAGAGGGAGGAUUUGGAGUUGUGUAUAAAGGCUAUGUGAACAACAGGACUGUAGCAGUGAAGAAGCUUGCAGCAAUGGUUGACAUUAGUACUGAAGAACUGAAACAGCAGUUUGAUCAAGAAAUAAAAGUAAUGGCAAAGUGUCAACAUGAAAACUUAGUAGAACUACUUGGUUUCUCAAGUGAUGGAGAUGACCUCUGCUUAGUGUAUGUUUACAUGCCCAAUGGUUCAUUGCUAGACAGACUGUCUUGCUUGGAUGAUACUCCACCACUCUCUUGGUGCAUAAGAUGCAAGAUUGCUCAGGGUGCAGCUAAUGGCCUCAGUUAUUUACAUGAAAACCAUCAUAUUCAUAGAGAUAUUAAAAGUGCAAAUAUCUUACUAGAUGAAGACUUUAUAGCCAAAGUAUCUGACUUUGGGCUUGCACGGGCUUCUGAGAAGUUUGCCCAAACAGUCCUGACAAGCAGAAUUGUGGGAACAACAGCUUAUAUGGCACCAGAAGCUUUGCGAGGAGAAAUAACAGCCAAAUCUGACAUCUAUAGCUUUGGUGUGGUUUUACUAGAAAUAAUAACUGGACUUCCAGCUGUGGAUGAACACCGUGAACCUCAGUUAUUGCUGGAUAUUAAAGAAGAAAUUGAAGAUGAAGAAAAGACAAUUGAAGAUUAUAUUGAUACGAAAAUGAAUGACAUUGAUUCCACUUCCAUUGAAACUAUGUACUCUGUUGCCAGUCAAUGUCUGCAUGAAAAGAAAAAUAAAAGACCAGACAUUAAGAAGGUUCAACAACUGCUGCAAGAAAUGACAGCUUCUUAAAACUUUACUGGAAUAGACCCUUGGCUUUUUAUAUACAGCUAUCUAAAUCAUUUUUUAAACUAAGAUUUUUUUGUAAACAUUCUUCUUUACCUUUUACACGGCAGCAUGCAGUGGUUAUUAAAGCUUGUGUAGAACCCCCAAUAUAUAGAACAAAAGUAGAGCCGCCGUAGCAACACUUAGCCCUACUUUCACUCUGAGGUCUUACCGUAAUCCCUGAGAUCUCCUUGGAACCUUACCAAACACAGUAUGAAAACUCAGAAUUAGCAACAAAGAGGACUGAACUAUAGGGUGGAAAGACCCUGGGCUGAAGCCCGACUCCACUACUAAUUUUCUGUAAAGCUUUGGGCAACCUCUUAGCUGCUUUGAACCUUGGUUUUUUCACUUGUAACGUUGGACUAAUUAUCUACUGUGCCUCUCUGACAGGUAGUCAUGAAAAUCAAAUGAUACAGAAUAUGUACAGGCAUGUGUAACUUGUAAAGUGAUAUGAAAUUUAAUGUUUACAUAAAUGAUUGUAAAAUCCUAUUACAGUCAUUUGUUUAUAGGGUCAUGUUCACAGUGUGCUAUUUUAAGCAAUCAUUCACCAUAAGCCAAUUAUGCCCCGAUGAUACUCCCGUGAUGAUAUGGCCGUUGUUAGAUUAUGUUAUAUGGCAAAUUUGAAAGCAUUUUGCAGAUGCAGUUAUCGUCCCUCAUCAGCUGACUUUGACUGUCAAUAAGGAGAUGCUGCUUUGGGGGCUGGACCUAAUAAGUCCACAGUUGGUUGAAUCCACAGACGCAGAACCCAUGGAUACAGAGGGCCGACUGUACAUUGUGAAAUGAUUACCACAAUCAAGCUAACUAACACAUCCACCGCCUAACAUAGUUACCUUUUUAGUUAUUUUGAUGUGGUGAGGCUACUUAAGAUCUACUGUCUUAGCAAAUUUCAAGUAUACAAUGCAGUGUUACUAACUAUAGUCACCAUGCUGUACUUUAGAUCCCCAAAACUUACUUAUUUUGUAACCAAAAGUUUAACCCUUUGACCAACCUCUCCCCAUACUCCUUUAAAGUUUGUACUAUUCCACUAUAUGAAUGGACACAGAUAGGACUGGCUUUUUAACCAUUCGAAUUCUAGUCUCAAAAAUAGUAUGGAAGCAACAACAGUGAAUCUCCAAAAUUAAUGUUAAGAUUUCACUUCUUGGAUGAAAUUAGGAAAAAUCAUUUUAUGAAAUAUUCUCGCCUAAAACAAAAAUCAGUAAAUUAAUUCAUCAAAUAUUUAUUGAUUGUUUUCUGUGGUCCAGACACUUGUAAAAGUAAUGUACAUAUCCAAAGUCCCUGUUCUCCAGGAGCUUGUUCUCAAGAGAAAGUCUGUUCAGAUGGAGAUGAUACUAUACAAGUAAAUAAGACAACAUCAGGUAGUGAGAAGUGUUAAGGAAACGUUAAAACUAUGUAUUGUGAUAGAUUCCCUUGGCUAAUAAGGUUUAACAACACCCAAGCUAAAAAAAAAAAAGGAAAGAAGGAGGGAAAGGAGGAAGGAAGGAAGGGAGGAAAGAAAGAAAAAGAAAAGAAAGAAAGAAAGAAGGCAGGCUACCAGCGUGUAGUCUCAGAAAUGACUAGA